rnacentral:tmRNA from 1 species
GCGUUACGGAUUCGACAAGGGCUAGGUGUCAGAGGGCUCGAUUCCGUCAGAAAUAGAAAGGGGAGUUAAUAAUAGCUGGCAAACAAACAACAACUUAGCAUUCGCAGCGUAAGCUGAUGAAUCUGCCUAGCAGUUCUAUCGCCUAUGUGGCAUUGUUAAGGCUCACUAUUAAUGUAAAACGGUAACGGUCGCCUCCUUAGGCCGUUGCAAGAGACUUCCAGGAUAGCGCUCAAGACGCCUUGAUUGACGGCAAACGUGCGCGCGAAUCGUUAAAUAGUCAAUCUAACCGCGUAGACGCUUAAGUUUUGGAGCCAUUGGACGUGGGUUCGACUCCCACCGUCUCCAUAU